rnacentral:rRNA from 1 species
AUACGGAGGGGGGUAGCGUUGUUCGGAAUUACUGGGCGUAAAGCGCACGUAGGCGGACUGGAAAGUUGGGGGUGAAAUCCCGGGGCUCAACCCCGGAACUGCCUCCAAAACUUCCAAUCUAGAGAUCGAGAGAGGUGAGUGGAAUUCCAAGUGUAGAGGUGAAAUUCGUAGAUAUUUGGAGGAACACCAGUGGCGAAGGCGGCUCACUGGCUCGAUACUGACGCUGAGGUGCGAAAGCGUGUGGAGCAAACAGGAUUAGAAACCCUAGUAGUCC